rnacentral:lncRNA from 1 species
CUCAGUCGCAGCUCGUCCCCUUAACGCAUCCUGGAUAUCCGUGGGUCCAAGCCAUAUGGCUCCACCCGCUGGAGCUACUCCUGGACCUCGACGUGCUGCUCUCCGGGGGCCCCGGGAAGGUAGCAGCCCUCACGAUGGUUUGCAGAGCGGCUCCUCGACUGGCUGCGGUGGCUCUGGCCACGGUGGCCGGGGCGCCCCAGAGUCCAGCAGAGUCUUUAAGGCAGGAAAUCUGAGCGCAGCGCGGCUGACUGCAGCAAACCGAGCCGGGACGUGGGUUAAAAUACUCCUGGAAAGUCGUUUCUCAGUUUGGGAAGCGUCCGCGGGGCGGGAAUGACCUACUCCAGGUGGCCUACGAUGCUUGAGGAGCUUGCGUGCAUUCCUUCCCAGGGCAGGGAUUCGUGGAGCGCGGCUCCGGCCUGGGGACCGGGACACCCCGUGAACAGCCAGAGAAAUUCGUGUUGCCUUCGCAGGACUCGGGGACGGUGAGCUGCGUAAAUAAUGCAGAUUCCAUCGGGGGCCGCGUGAAUGGGAAGACAAAGACAACCGUGGGGCUGCUCUGCUGACCCUUCAGGCACCUGCACCCCGAGUCUCUGCCCCCCCACCUGCGGACACGGGGUGGGGGUCCGCGGGAUGGCACGUGUUGGCCGGCGCCUGGCACACGGCCCAGCUCAUACUCCGCCGCACCCGGUUAUCGCCCACCCGUUUUCGUCCCUGCCGCGGUUGUGGCGCACACACACUGAGCGCGUUUUACCCCAAACGAUGGCAAAAUACCACAGUGCGGUGUUUUCCCAGCAGAGGGGAGGAGGGUGCCGCUCCACCAAUGUUUGUGUUUCCUGCAUCCGUCGGCAGCAUCCGGCCGCCCACCCUCCGCACAUCCCACCUUUCAACGUUGACCAUGGAGCGGGGACCCCUGCGUCCUUCCAAACUCCGGGUGGAGGUGGUGCGUCCCGGGCUGCGCGGAGGACGGGGAGUCUCCCCAACUUUCUGAGGACGCUGACCCACGUGCACCCCGAGGACAGGGAGAAACUCGAGCGGUUUCUGUUGAGAGUGGGGCCUCCGACGGGGUUGUUGGGAAAACCUCGGUUAGGCACAACGAGGAAGCACCGCAUGCCGUGAUGGAGGCAGCCUUCGUGUGUCGUCCAAAGCUUAGAAUAUCUCGGACCCUCUGUCCCCUUCUGUCCACCAGCGGAGGCCCCUGUCCCCGGGGUGGAGCCACGCGAUGGGUCAUGGCCUUGGCGAGUAGACCCUGCACUGCGCCUGAGGCACUCUUACCCCUGACCUCCCCUUAGGGUGGGCACCCCGAGGUCCCCAGGCUCGUCCUCAGGGAGCCCUGGGGUGGACACCUGGAGCUCACCC